CCUACGGGAGGCAGCAGUAGGGAAUAUUGCUCAAUGGGGGAAACCCUGAAGCAGCAACGCCGCGUGGAGGAUGAAGGUUUUCGGAUUGUAAACUCCUUUUGUUAGAGAAGAGAAUGACGGUAUCUAACGAAUAAGCACCGGCUAACGCCGUGCCAGCAGCCGCGGUAAUACGGAGGGGGCAAGCGUUACUCGGAAUCACUGGGCGUAAAGAGCGCGUAGGCGGGAUAGCAAGUCAGAUGUGAAAUCCUAUGGCUUAACCAUAGAACUGCAUUUGAAACUGUUAUUCUAGAGUAUGGGAGAGGUAGGUGGAACUCUUGUUGUAGGCGUUAAAUCCGUAGAGAUCAAGAGGACUACUCAUUGCG
rnacentral:rRNA from 1 species